UAUAGGUCCAGUGCCCUUAUUCCUUCUUCUGGGACUGUUCUCUGUGGUGCUGCAUUCACCUGGCACUGAUGCAAACUUACCCUGUGGCUACAGAGCUAAUGGCUGCUCCAUCCCUCUUAAGCUGCCUUUCCCCUAUAAGUCCACUUUCAGAUCAGCAUGCAACAAGCAUGACCAGUGCUACAAGUGUGGAACCUAUUAUCGCAUAUCCCGAAGAAGCUGCGACAGAAGAUUCCAUACAAAUAUGAAGAGAAUAUGUAGACGACAGAAAUGGUUUCUACGGCUUCGUUGUUUAAGAUUCGCACUUGUUUACUUUUCGGCCGUUCGAGUUGGAGGGAAGUCUGGAUAUGAAAAAGGUCCGUAUCGACACUGUAGAUUGGUACAACACUGCCUGAAGUAAAUAAAUAUGGUGAUUAUACUGGGUGUCGAACAGUUCUUAAUUGUUUUGUUUUGAACAUAUUUUAUUGAAUAAAUCAAGAAUUUUCA